rnacentral:rRNA from 1 species
UACGGAGGGGGGCUAGCGUUGUUCGGAAUUACUGGGCGUAAAGCGCACGUAGGCGGCUUUGUAAGUCAGAGGUGAAAGCCCGGAGCUUAACUCCGGAAUUGCCUUUGAGACUGCAUCGCUUGAAUCCAGGAGAGGUGAGUGGAAUUCCGAGUGUAGAGGUGAAAUUCGUAGAUAUUCGGAAGAACACCAGUGGCGAAGGCGGCUCACUGGACUGGUAUUGACGCUGAGGUGCGAAAAGCGUGGGGAGCAAACAGG